UUUAACAUAGAGUUGCACAGAGGGAGGCACAGAGAUCUAACUAGGAGUUACUACUACUAAAUAGCAGAAAUGUCAGAUGAAAUGUCAGUGGAGAUCUUGAAGUAAUUAUACCCACUAAAAACCUCCAAUUAAGAUGUUACUUUCCACCAGAGACAAUGGGCCAGAUUCUGUAUCCAAGGUAACUCCACAAAGCACUUUAGAGACGGCCUGAAUGUACACCCCACUCAAAGGUACUGCAAUUGAUAUUAUUGUUUUUAAUUUCAUUUUACGGUAGUAGCCCACCAGGAACCUGGAAAGGACUUGUCAAAGUUAUUUAUCUGUUAACUGAGAUGACACAAAGGCAGAUUUUACGGGCCAAAAACUACUGAGGAGCAUCCACCAACAAUUUAGAUUUCUUAUACUGAACAGCAGCAUCACUUCUGCAGCGGGUUUGUUGUGUUCUGUGUAUUAUACUUCUAGCUGAAACUCAAAUCACUGCAGUUAAGCAUUUAAAAAAUCUUCACCAUGAACUUAUUUAACUUUCUGUCACAAGGAAGAUGAGAAAGCUUAACAGAUUCAGCUUUCACAUUAAGAACAUGUUCAGGGUGGCAGCAAAACACACAGAUCCACUGCAGUUCAUUUCUGCGCAGCAUAAAUCCUUCAAUUCCUCAAUUGUCAUUAUAGCACACCAGGAUUCAUGGACCAUAAUUAGAGGCAGCGAAGCCCAGACAUGACAAGAGGACGAAGAUGGUUUACCUUUUGUCAGCAUGAAAGCACCUGGCAGAACUGGCACAAUCAUCCAUGCCAACACCACCCAGCUACCGAAGUGGCCCACAAGUGAAGCACCCUGAAAGGCCUGGUAUAGGGAUUUAACUUAGUGUGUUGACUAUAUC
rnacentral:lncRNA from 1 species